AUUGAACGCUGGCGGCAUGCCUUACACAUGCAAGUCGAACGGCAGCACGGGUGCUUGCACCUGGUGGCGAGUGGCGAACGGGUGAGUAAUACAUCGGAACGUACCUUAUCGUGGGGGAUAACGCAGCGAAAGCUGUGCUAAUACCGCAUACGCCCUGAGGGGGAAAGCGGGGGAUCGCAAGACCUCGCGCGAUUAGAGCGGCCGAUGCCUGAUUAGCUUGUUGGUGGGGUAAAAGCCCACCAAGGCGACGAUCAGUAGCUGGUCUGAGAGGACGAUCAGCCACACUGGGACGAAGACACGGCCCAGACUCCUACGGGAGGCAGCAGUGGGGAAUUUUGGACAAUGGGGGCAACCCUGAUCCAGCAAUGCCGCGUGAGUGAAGAAGGCCUUCGGGUUGUAAAGCUCUUUUGUCAGGGAAGAAACACCGGCUCUAACACAGUCCGGGAAUGACGGUACCUGAAGAAUAAGCACCGGCUAACUACGUGCCAGCCGCCGCGGUAA
rnacentral:rRNA from 1 species